AUCUUGUACGAAUAGUAGAGGUGCGGUGGGCAAAGUUCGCCGGACAUGAUGCCAUGCCAAAUCAGGAUAUCCCGCACAAUGUCACAGGUGGUUCCGGUACCCUUGAAUCCUGCCAUUUGAAUGACUCAAAAAUUCUCUCCAACUGCUCUUUGGAUACACCCACCUAGUGUAGAAGUUCCAGGCUGUGUUCUAUGAAAGGAUCAGUCUGAAAUUUGCUGGACUUCGAGCUUAUCCAAAGGCAUAAUAUACAUAUGUUCAACUGUCUGAUUGCCUCCAGGCAUGGCCUUCUGGGUUCUACUGAUGCCUUGGACUCCGACUGCUGUGUUUUUUUCAGUUGUAGUUCAUCCAGGAUUUGUCUUAGUUCGCGGUUGAGCUGUCUGUAGACUCAUUAUCGCCCUCUGUAAGAUAUGUGCGUGUGUGCGUGUCGACCGAUGAUCUAGAUUCUAGAUUAAGAAUCAAUAAAAGUUCCGCCUGUGGAGCUGCUUCUCUUAUAUAUAUACUUCUAUAAUUAGACAAUUUUGUGUCAACUUAAUGGAAUAUUUUUUUUACGAAUGCACACCUACAAUAAGUAUGUAUAUGUUUGUGUGUUUCCAGGUCAUCUCUCUCGCUCUACACAAAUCAAAACAUCAUCUGUCGGCUUUCGGACAAGAAGUAAAUCCCAUAAUAGUCCUUCGUCCCUCGCAAUGCCAGAGGCAUGUUUACUCUGGCGUCUUCCCUAUAAUGUCCAAUUCGACGGGAAAUGAUGUGGCUGUCAAGUUAUAUGGAAUGAAAAAAACCACAUGCAUGUAGGAUUCCUGGCCUGAUGACAGGCUUCAGCCUUGAGAAGGAGGAUUCCCCACAGAGGCUGGGUCCUCCCCCCCCCCACUCGUCGUUUUCCGCUCACAGAUUACAAUCGGAAAAUGCGCAUAAGGUUUUACAUUCUGUUCUGCGGCGCUGGCAUUAGUUUGAGAUACGAGUAUGUGGCAGCGGUGACAAAAUAAAAUUAGGAGACGCUCUUAGCCAUAAACAUAAAAAUUGUUCCCAAGAUCCGGAAAGCAGCAAGGAGGAGAGCGCAGCCCCCCUCAGUUGUAGCCAGCAGCGAUUCCUUGGUAUCAUAAUUUCGAAAUGACAGGUAAUUUGGUGGCAACAGCAACAACAGGAAGAGGAUGUGGAAGUGGCAGUGGUGGUGGCGGUGUCAGAAGGGAAAGCAUCGCAUGAAGUGCGAGUGCGAAAUGGGAAAAUGAUGCGGGUUUAUUAAGUAUCGUUACUCAGAGAAGAAACCCUCGCAGAGAAAACCGAAAUCCCGCCCAACAAAUUUAUGAUACGCCGUUUCCCAAGGAACCCACCCAAAAAAAAUGCAGAAAAAUGUAUAUUGUAAAUAUAUGAAGGACUCCAA